GACGUAGGGCGCGAGCGUUGUCCGGGAUUUAUUGGGCGUAAAGAGCUCGUAGGCGGCUUGUCGCGUCGAAUGUGAAAAACCUGCAGCUCAACUGCAGGCUUGCAUUCGAUACGGGCAGGCUCGAGUUCGGUAGGGGAGACUGGAAUUCCUGGUGUAGCGGUGAAAUGCGUAGAGAUCGGGAGGAACACCAGUGGCGAAGGCGGCUACCUGGACCAGCACUGACACUGAGGCACGAAAGCGUGGGGAGCGAACAGG
rnacentral:rRNA from 1 species